rnacentral:lncRNA from 1 species
GUUGGAUAGAAAUGUUCAUAGCAGCAUUAUGCAUAAUUGCUAAAAUCCUGAAGCAACUUAAUGCCCAUCAACUGAUGAAUUAAUGAACAAAAUGUGGUAUAUUUCCAAAACAUGUUCAGACAUAAAAAGGAAUAAGUAUUGCUACAUGAUAUAAUAUAGAUGAAUCUUGAAAACACUGUGCUAAUGGAAAGAAGCCAGUCACAAAAGGCUACAAUAUGGCUUGAUUCCACUGACAUGAAUUAUCCAAACUGCGUAAAUUUGUAGAGACAAAAACUAGAUUUCUGGUUGUCAGGAGAUGAGAGAAGGGAAGAAUUGGGACUCACUGCUAAUCAGUAAAGGGUUUCUUUUUGGGGUGGCAGAGAUAAUCAAGAGUGAGACACUAGUGAUGGUCACAAUACAUAGUUAAUAUACUAAAAAUCACUGAAUUAUAUGCUUUUAAACAGUGGAUUUUAUGUUAUAUAGAUUAUAUCACAAUAAAAAAUAAAUUGAGAGAAACCUCUCAUAAGAGAUUAAAUUUGACUCUAUGGGAUUCAUCCUAACUGUGGGACCAGAGUGGGUUAAGGGCUGAGAUUCACUUAUCUUCUUUCUGAGUUAUUGUCAUCUGAGAUAUUCCUGGCCUUUUAAUCUCUAAAAUUUGCAGUGGAAGCAUCCCCCACCUCACCCACUGGGCAUCAGGUCCUAAGAAGUUCUUCUGAUUCAGUAUUUUCUCAGCCUUUUAGUCUCAACUUCCCCACUGAGUGCCAUUCUAAUGCUAUAGUAAGUGUGGACCUAGCCAUGUAGCCAACACUGUAUCCUAGGAGCUGAUAGUUUUGGUCCUGAGACACAAUGGCUGCUGUCACUCACUACAGAAUUGCUUAGGCCUGUGAAACCUGGCUCCCAGUGAAGAUUCUCCUGCCCCUCAGUCCCCAGAACUUUUCCAGCUGGAGAGCAAUUCUCGGGAAUUUCCCAUUCCCGAGAAAGAGUCAGGCUGUAGCUGCUGAAAGAAAUGCAGAUAUAGAGAAUUCAUCUAACUGAAACUGAACAGAAUGAGAAGUUGGAGAGAAUAAGUUUGGAAUUUAAGUUGGGAUUUGAGGCUUUACUUUCUUUGGAUUCAUACUGCUCAACAAAGACAGCAGGAAUUUUUCAGACUUUAGCUUUUAUGGACUUUAAGGUAAGAAUUUGGAUUUCUUAUUUAAGCAAGUUCCUUAAAUAAAGCUGCUUCUGGUGAACUGCAUUCCUUGCAGCCUCAUGGAAAAAAAUCUCUCAUGAUUACUCCCCAAGAGAUGAUGUUUCCUCUGGUUUAGGAUGCUACAGGCUCUGAACAUUUUCUGUCUGUCAUGUCUUUUAUGAUAUACGUCUCAAGUGUUUUCAUUUUCUCCACUAGUAGUUUCAGGAAGACUGAGCUGAUUAACCUACCUGAGAGGUUUCUUUUCUUCUGCCAAGUAGGAUCAUGAUGUUGGCAGGAUCUGAGUUCUUUCUGUUUACGUUUCCAUUGCUCUCAGGCCCAGACAUUUUACUAGUAUAUUCUGCUAGAUUGUGGUUAAUAGAGUUUUCCAUGGUGAGAUAUAUGAAAAUAGCAGGUUCUGGGUCUGUCGAAAAUAGCAGGUUCUGGGUCUGUCAAAAAUAUCUGCUGUUCAAACAUAUUUUGUCUACAGUCAAGCUUCCUGGGAAGAUGAUCCAUCCCAGAAGAUACCCCUCCAUCACCCAACAUCUAUAAUGCGCUCAGUACAUAUUAUAGUUCUUCUGUCCACACCCCUCCAAUAUAAAUGAUCUUUUCUGUGCCUUACCUCGAGUCCUAACCAAAAAUUGCUUGGGGAUGUUUCUUCAGGGAACGGUGUAUAAUACAUCAUCACCUUAAGUCACCUCCUUUUUUUUAGUUUUUUAUGCUGCUCUGCCCCACGUUUGCCCUCAAAUUUGUUCUAAUAUUGUGUAACCAAGUCAUACAGUUGUCUCAAUAUUUG